rnacentral:lncRNA from 1 species
GGCGCGGGUAAGAGGCGGCGGGAGCGCGCAGCCCGGGAUUGUGGCCGCCGCGCGCCGGGACGCCAGGGCUCCGCGCUCCGCACCUACCGGCGGCAGCCGCGCGACCCCGCGCCCCCGCGCUCGCCCACCGGGCAGAGAACCGAAGACCCAGGCCGGCACCCAGGGGCCCGCGAGAGCGACCGCACUGCCUGUGUGCCGCGGGCGGGCGCUCCUGGAGCGGCGGAUGCGCGCGGACAGCCCCUGACGCCGGGCCCGAGGCUAGGAGGGACCGCGCCGAGCCCGGAGUGGCUGGUUCGGGAGCAUGGACAGACACCAGUGCCCGGCGUCCAGCCCUGCCCUGCGGCGGUGGCUGCUGCUGGGGGCUGUGACAGUGGGGCUCCUGGCCCAGAGCGUCCUGGCGGUAAGUCCUGGGUCCCGUUCAU